rnacentral:rRNA from 1 species
GACGAACCGUGCAAACGUUGUUCGGAAUCACUGGGCUUAAAGGGCGCGUAGGCGGCUAGCCAAGUCAGGGGUGAAAUACUUCAGCUUAACUGGAGAAGUGCCCUUGAUACUGGCUGGCUAGAGGGAGGUAGGGGCAUGUGGAACUUCUGGUGGAGCGGUGAAAUGCGUUGAUAUCAGAAGGAACGCCGGUGGCGAAAGCGACGUGCUGGACCUCUUCUGACGCUGAGGCGCGAAAGCUAGGGGAGCAAACGGG